AAGAUGGAGGAAUAAAAAGGGGGAGGAAUGGAAAGCUGGCGACAGAGACAGGGAUCUCACACUGUCGACACACAGAAAGACAACGUUGAUUGCUUUGAGGCAAUCUGCCGGCCAACCUUGACAUUUCCCCGGCGCUUGGUCAAGAUCAUCGUUGUGAGUCAGGCCGACUGGAGACAGAAACAAGAGCAAACACGAGCCCUGAAAGAAGGGGUGAGGGAAUGCAGGGGUGAGGAAGGUGAUGGAGGUCCUACAGUAGAGGACUUAUGGGGCAAGGCUCAUACAUAUGCCUAAAUGAGACAUCAGCAAAGCUUCUUAUGGAACCAACACCUUCCAGGGAAGGAAUGCUCACACGAGCCUGAUCAGCCAAUCAGAGAUGUGUGGCCCUGUUACACUGGCAUAACAAAAAUUUAUUCUUUUGUUUCAUUAAGGUUUUACUG